GAUGAACGCUGGCGGCGUGCCUAAUACAUGCCAGUAGAACGCUGAAGGAGGAGCUUGCUCUUCUGGAUGAGUUGCGAACGGGUGAGUAACGCGUAGGUAACCUGCCUGGUAGCGGGGGAUAACUAUUGGAAACGAUAGCUAAUACCGCAUGACAACAGUUAUUGCAUGAUAACUGUUUAAAAGGGGCAACUGCUCCACUACCAGAUGGACCUGCGUUGUAUUAGCUAGUUGGUGAGGUAACGGCUCACCAAGGCGACGAUACAUAGCCGACCUGAGAGGGUGAUCGGCCACACUGGGACUGAGACACGGCCCAGACUCCUACGGGAGGCAGCAGUAGGGAAUCUUCGGCAAUGGACGGAAGUCUGACCGAGCAACGCCGCGUGAGUGAAGAAGGGUUUCGGAUCGUAAAGCUCUGUUGUAAGAGAAGAACGAGUGUGAGAGUGGAAAGUUCACACUGUGACGGUAUCUGACCAGAAAGGGACGGCUAACUACGUG
rnacentral:rRNA from 1 species